rnacentral:rRNA from 1 species
GGGGGGGGGGGGGGGGGGGCCGGGGGGGGGGGGGUCGGGGGGGGGGGGCGGGGGGGGGGGCGCACGGGGGCGGAACGGGGGGGGACCUGCCGUGAGGGGCGGAAGCACUCCCCGAAAGGGGUGCUAAGACCGGGUCCUGGCUUCGGCCCAAAGAGUUAUCGCCUUUGGGUGGGCCCGCGUUGGCUUAGCUAGGUGGUAGGGUAAAAGCCUACCAAGGCGACGAUCCAUAGCUGGUCUGAGAGGAUGAUCAGCCACACUGGGACUGAGACACGGCCCAGACUCCUACGGGAGGCAGCAGUGGGGAAUAUUGGACAAUGGGCGAAAGCCUGAUCCAGCAAUGCCGCGUGAGUGAUGAAGGCCUUAGGGUUGUAAAGCUCUUUUACCCGGGAUGAUAAUGACAGUACCGGGAGAAUAAGCUCCGGCUAACUCCGUG